rnacentral:snRNA from 12 species
AUACUUACCUUGUUACAUUACGUCAGAGAUCAAGAAUUCUGAGUAAUAGUUGGGAGGGCCUGCAUUGCACAUCGCGGAGUCGCUCCUUGCUCCAUUGUCCUUCGGGGCCAUGGGUGGCGCAAUUUUUGAUAUAUCCAACUCCGUUUUCAUUGUGA